GAAAUUCCCAAACAAAAAAUUAGUUUCAGGUGUGUGUGUGUGUUUGCAUUCGGGUCUGAGUGGGGCCAGGGUGAGACUGAGUGGAGGGUAGGUGACACCACCCAGCUCACCCAGGACGUGCCCGGCUAUGCCCUCAGCGGCUUCCUGCUGCCUCUCGGGUGUCACUGCUCUUCAGCCUGAGUGACCACAUUGCCCCAGUGGCAUCGGGCAGCCAGUCCAGGUGCACAAGCCAUCACGAGGACCUGCCAGUGCAGGUGUGUGAGCCAUCACCAGGACGUGCCCUGGCAGCCAGAAGCGGAACGUGGCAGCAGCAUGAGUAGAGGAGCUGUGCCCCUCAGCCGCCUCCUGCCCGGGCACCACCGUCUGGGGAAGCAGAGAGGGCAGCUCCCUGUCUGCUCUGCCUCUGCUCUGCUGGUCCAGGGCCUGGAGAACCCUCCCCACACCAGCCCUUUGCUCGAACACCACCCCUGCUCCAAGGCCUGGCUCAGACGCUGUUUCCUCCCGGAAGACUUUUGGAUGCCCUACUCACCUCUUCUGAGCCUUCUUAUGUGAACCUCUCAUGGAGUGUGGCCUGUGCCACUCGUCCCCACAGAGCUCCUGCAGGAGCCUGGUUGUCGCAGACCUCCACAUCAGGCUACGCUCAGAGAACAUCUGGUCAACAGAGCUGCCCAGAGAAGGAAACAGAGGAAUAUCAGAGAGGACCCACGAGGCUGUGCCCACGCAGCACCAAGCGGAUGACAGCACAGAGACAGCGCUGACCGAAGGCCCGGGUUGCGAAGGACGUCCUCACGCCUUGAGAACAUCUGCACUUACAGAGAAGCAUCCGGAUGGUCGGGCAUGAAUGUUCACACACACGUCCCUGGAGACUCACGCAGACCCACAAAUUCCAGAAUGUGGGGGCUUCCUCGCGUCAUCUGGACCAGUCUUCUGUGUCUGAACUGUCCUGACACCUGAACCGGCACAGAAUGAGGCCCUGUCAGCUAAGAAGGGCCACUUGCUAGCCAUCGAGUGGGCUGUGCCGGAUGCUGGGACAGUGACAGCUUCUCAGAAUAAGAUAAGGUGGGUGUUGAGACCGUUCUGCCGGGAGCAGCCUUUGCGCAGGUCGGGGCUGGGCCGCACUGAGCAUGCGUGGAGCGGGGCUGCGGAGCCGGCGAGCUAAACGUCAGCGCGAGCCUCGUGAAUGCAGUGUUGGAAGAUCUUACGACAUUAUGUUUCUAGGGUGCGGAGGGAGAGUCUGGGAGGACAGGCAGCACCCCGCUGCAUGGGUCCCUCUCCCUGGACCGAGGCCACGGACAUCCAUGCUCUGGACCACACUAGUUAUGGGGCCUCCCGUGGUCUGGGCAGGUGUGGGGACCAUCUGCGUGGAGACGGGUGAUGCGAACCGAAGGGCUUGAGCUCCCUGGAGUGGUCAAGGGCCCCUACAGUUUCUUGCCAUGAGGUCUCAGGCGGGCUCUGCACCUUUCCCUCCAAACCACAGCUGAGCUGCGCCCAUCCCCUCCUGCAUCCAAAACCCGAACCCUUCCUUUCCUGUGGCCAAUCUGGCACCGACGUCUCUAGGCAGCCAUCGCCCCGCCAUCCAGGGAGCCCACAGCCAGUGGCUGGCUUACGCGGGAGCCAGGGCGGAAGCCUUUCCUCCUGCCUCAGCUCUGCUGUGGCUAUUUGAAGAACGUGUGGCUUUCCCAUUUGAGUGCACAUCCCAUGAGGACUGGAACCGUGCCUGCCUUUCCUCUCCACCACACUCCUGGUGCCUCACUCCAUGCCUGGCACGUCGUGGGGACUCAGAAAUAGUUGUUGAAGAAACGAUGUGAAUGGAUUAAAGACGAGAGAAGACUUGAGAGCAAGCGAAGGAGGAGACAGCUAGGAGGCCAGCCCUGCCCGUGCUGCCAGGAGGGCGUGUGUGGUCUCUGCCUGCAGUGUCACCGGUGAGCCCGUGGAGAGGAGACCUGCAAGCCCUCAGUGUGUCAUCAGUUCCCCUGAUUACUACGUGAGAAAUGUGCAAAGCGUAGGUCUGGUCCUCACGGGAUAAGUCCACAAAGAAUGCAUGGAGUACAUGGCUGAACCUGGAUUUCAACUACAAGAGGACACCAUCCAGGAAAUGAAAAGACAACUCAUGGGAUGGAAGAAAAUAUUUGCAAGUCAUAUAUCUGAUAGGGAACUGGUAUUCAGAACCCUACACUCAACAGUAAAAUUAAAAUGGGCAAAGGAUCUGAAUAGACAUUUCUCCAAAUAAGGUAUAAAAAUGGCCACAUAAGCAGGUGAAAAGGUGCUCAACCCAUGAGUCAUUAGGGAAUUGCAAAUGAAACUACAAUGAGAUACUGCUUCCCACCCCCAGUAUGGCUGAGACAAACCAGACAGAUAAUAGCAAAUGUUGAAGGGCAUGUGUAGCAACUGGAGCUCUCAGACAUUGCUGUGGCGACGGAAAUUGUGUGGCCACUUUACGAAAGCAGUUUGGGAGUUCCUUAAAUGUUAAACAUGGUUACCAUGUGAUCCAGCAAGUAAGAGACGUGAAAAUACGCAUCCACACAAAAACAACUAUGUGAAUAUAUGUAGCCUAAUAUGUAGAAGAUAAAUAGCUAACAUUUAGAAACAAUACAAGUACCUAUCACCUGAUGAAUGAACAAAAUGCUGUAUAUCCCAACAGUGGAAUCGUGUUCAGCCACCAAGAGGAAUGAGCACUGGUGUGUGCUCCGUGGAUGGACCUUGGGAACAGUGUCCUCCGUGAAGGAAGCCACACACAGAAGGCCGUUUAGUGUGUGAUGCCACUUAUACGAAGUGUCCAGAACAGGCACAUCCGUCCAGACAGAAAGGACGACGUUCCACGGACUGCAAGAGAACGUUCAGUCUGGCUCCGAACGGCGUUUUCGGCAAGCCCCGACCUCCGUGUCUCGGGCCUGCGUCCAGCUCCCCGUGGAAGGCGUGAUCUCUGAGUCUCCGCAGCAGGUACCGCACUCGAGCCAGAGCCCAGGCCGCCCGGUGAGAGUCGAUGUUGCUGCAGCAAAAUGCAGCCACCAGCCAAG